GGGCAUAUAACUCAAUUGGUAGAGUGCUUCCCUUACAAGGAAGAGGCUGGAGGUUCGAGUCCUUCUAUGCCCACCA
rnacentral:tRNA from 1 species